rnacentral:tRNA from 1 species
GAAUUAAGUGACUCAGAAGAAAGCUUCUAACUUUUUUUCUAAGCGGAGUAUCCCCGUUUUUAAUUCU